GCCUCCGCCGAGCACUCCAGCUGAGGAGUGACUUCGGCCUCUUUGUUACAUGUAUUUAUGUGCUUCUUGUGUUGCCAGCCCUAGAGUGGAGCUCCCUGUUGGGAGGGGUCGUAUCUGUCCAUUCAUCCCGGCUGCACGCCCAGGUCUGGCAAACUACCUGUCACAGAGCAGGUGCCCAUGUAACGAAGGAACAUCCUAGAAGAAUUUCGGCAGAAGAUAAACUGUAGAGAGAUCUCUCUUACUCCAGAAAAGCUCUUUCCUGAUUAAAGUGAGAAAUACUCACUUCCAAACUACCAUUAUCUCUAGACACAAAACUGGAUAGAAUUAAAAACGUGGUCCCGUUGUGGCUCAGUGGUAACAAACCCAACUAGUAUCCAUGAGGAUGCGGGUUCAAUCCCUGGCCUUGCUCAGUGGGUUAAGGAUCUGGUGUUGCCAUGACUGUGGUGUAGGUUGCAGACACCACUAGAAUCCCACAUUGCUGUGGCUGUGGCGUAGGCCAGCAGUUGUAGCUCUGAAUCGACCCCUAGCCUGGGAAUUUCCAUAUGCCACGGGUGUGGCCCUAAAAAGACUAUAUAUAUGUAUACAUUUUAACAGGUGUAGGAACAGACAUGUGAUUGAGCUGUUGUUCCAAAGGAUUACACUUCUUGCCCAAUUCUGAUAAGGACAGAAAGCACCAGGGUCGGGUCAAGUAUUAUUUCAGAGGCGGCUUAUUAGAAUCCCAGACUCUGUUUUUCCAUAGCUUCGAUGUCAUGCCUGGUGGUUCAAUUCCACACCAACUCUCAAAGUCUGUUUAAUUAAGAAGAUAUUGAUAAUCUUAUUAGUUACAGGGAAAGGCAGAUCUUAGGGGCAAGAGAGAACUUUCGGCUGUCUCCUUUCUCAGGUGGAAAGCAGAGACCACGGGCAUUUUUAAAAGCAGAUCAAAAGUUUAUCUCGUCUCGGUCAGUCUCUUCCACCUGCCUCUGGGCAGCCUUUCUUCUUCCCAAUCAGUCCCUUCCAGGCACGCAUGAAUGUGUGAGUUCAUCUAGCAAAUGGGAUCCUAAGGAGUUUACAGUUUAAUGGAAUAAAGUAAACAUAUAUAUAGUUGUGGUUAGCAGCAUCCCUAAAGGAAACAGGGAAAGUGCAGCAAUGGCUAAGAAACACUAUACUGUCAGGUGGUUUAAAGCAUAGAAUUAGAUUCAGAUUGUGUUGUUUAUGUGUGUGGCACAGAUGUGGUUAAUAUUUUAGCAUAAACGUUACAUGCUAUGUGUAUAAUUCCGCCCCAGUGUUUCCACUCAGCAAUAUGUUAAUUUGCGGUCUUAGAUAUCUUCCUCGUUCUUUCUUUAAAAUUUUAUUGAAGUAUAGUUGAUUUACAAUGUUGUGUUAAUUUCUGCUCUAUAGCAAAAUGACUGCUAUAUAUAUGUUCUUUUUCACACUCCUUUCCAUUAUGGUUUAUCAUGGGGUAUUGAAUAUAGCUCCCUGUGCUAUACCAUAGGACCUCAUUGUUUAUACUUUCUAGUCUUUUUAACUGCUCUAUAAUAUUCCACGAUAACUUGAUGAACACCCUUGUAUUCUUUAAAUACUUCAAGCAUCUGUUGCAAUGACCCCAUGUCUGUGGGAAACGAGGCAAUUAGAGCCAAGGACACAGUUCUCAUUGAGAGCCUGUUUGCAGGCUGGCUUUAAGUUAGAAACUGGGAGUUCCCGUUGUGGCUCAGCAGUGAUGAACCCAAUUAGUAUCCAUGAGGAUGUGAGUCAAUCCCUGGCCUCACUCAGUGGGUUAAGGUUUCUGGCAUUGCCGUGAGCUGUGGUGUACGUUGCAGACAUGGCUUGGAUUUGGCAGUUGCUGUAGCUGUGAUGUAGGCUGGCAGCUGCAGCUCCAAUUUGACCCUUAGCCUAGGAACUUCCAUAUGCCAUGGGUGUGGCCCUAAAAAGACAAAAAUAAUUUUAAAAUUAAAAAAAAAUAGAUAGGAACUGUAUGCCCUUGAUGAUGGACUUGAAAUAUUAAAAAGCAAUUAAUAGCUAAAAUGAGAACAUGUAGCAGGGUACAGGGAAGAGUGUUAUCACUAGACAUAGCUGAAAUCAAAGUUCAUGAAAAGCGUUUAGAUCAUUUUCAUGUUCGGGCCCCAGAGAGGAAUCUGAAAUGCUUAACAACAAUACAGCUCAGCAGAGAAAUUCUUCUCUAGCAAACACCUGAGAUAUUCCUAAAUUUCUGCUUUUCCCCAUGUUCUAGCUCCUAGUGCUAUCAGGAGGUCCCACUAUCCUUUGUAAAUACCUAUAUUAUUGCACUGCCCUGCCUUUAUUUGCCCACACGUGUGGCUCCUUUAAUCAAUCUGAGAUUGUUUGGAAGGUUUAUUCAUCUCUGCACUACCUGUAUCUUACAGAGUACCUGACACAAAGUAGGUAUUCAAAAAGAAAUUUUUGGAGGAACUUAAUUAACUAAUCAGGGACUUCCUAAAAAUAUUUGAUUCUCAUGACAAUCUCAGAGAGGUAGUUUGCUUUGGGAUUAAGCAAAACUAUUUUUGAAAAUGCUCUGUCAAUUACCAUGUGCAUGACUUUGGGGAAAAACCGUGUCCUGAAGCUUUGAUUUUUCACCUGUAAAACGGGGGUCGUAGAGGUACCCUAUGUUACAUGAACAAAUGUUGCAAGGAUUCCAGGAAAUAAUGCAUCUGUAUCUGUUAGCUUUGAAGUGUGAUGAACCAGAACUGGCACCUUAAAAACAACCGUUUAUAAUUUCUCACGAGUCUGGGUGAGUGGGUCUACGUUGACCUCACUUGCCCCUCUGACAGUUGGGCUCAAGCGCCUGGGCUCCUCCUCAGGGCAUCGCUAACCAGCCACCGUGAGCUCAUUCUCAUGGUGGCCAUGGUGUCCAGGGGAUGCAGGAGAGUAAAAAUGCAAAUGCACAGUCACUGUCCACGCCUCUGCUUGCAUCACACGUGCUAUUGUCUCAUGUGCCAAAGUGAGUCACGUGUCUAAUCCCAGACUUCAUGUGGGAGGGGACUACCCAAGGUUUAGAUAGAGGUGAGGCAAUGACUGUGCCAUUUUGUAAACAGUCUACCCCAGCAUCAAAAGUGUUUAGCACUUAAAAAAAAAAUUAAUUAAGGUUGGCAAUAAUAAUUAUAAUAUAAUAUUGUUCUUCAUGGAGAAACAUUUUCCACAAAGCUAAUUAUCCUCAUCAUCAUUGAGUAUAAUUCUUAUGAUUCUUCCUUGGAAUCCUUCUUAGACUCUGCUGUUCUAAGGCUGCCUCCUUCUCCUUCUGCUCCUCUACCACUUCUGUCACAUCCAGUUAUCACUCCCCAUCAGCAGAUGAUGAUAUUUAUAUCUCGAGAUGGAAUCUGAGUUUGAGUUCACCCCAAAAUCAGAAGGACUUGGAGGAGAGUGGUUUAUUGGGAAGGUGACACUGGGAAGCAGGAAAAAGGCAGAACGAAGUGGUGAAGGAGGAAGAGCCAACCUAAGUUCUCCCAGCAAGGAAGAAACAGAGUCUGGUCUAAGCUUCAGUUUGUCUCACAAUUUAAUCUCAACAUUGUUUCACGCAAGUCUGUCUUCAGAGAUCUUCUGAGACACCUCACAUGUUUAAGGCUACAAAUCCUAGUACCUAUUUGUUCUCUUCAAACAGGUGUCUUUGAGAAAUUGCCUCGCAUACAAAGAUCUCUGGCCACCAGAUUCAUCACACAUAC
rnacentral:lncRNA from 1 species